UCAGCUACUCACAUAUGGUCGAAGAAUCCCAUGUGCUGAAUUGUUUGCAAGAAUUGACGCUGUUGAUGCCAGUACAAUUAAACGUGUUGCUAACCGAUUUAUUUAAGACAAGGAUGUUGCUAUUGCUGCCAUGGGACCUAUUCAACGUUUACCUGAUUACAACUGGUUCAGACGCAGAACCUACUGGAACCGUUAUUAGUUCAUCUUAGUUUUCUGCUUAAUUUAAACUUUAUGGAAGGUCUGGCAUAAUGUUUUGUCCAAAAUUUACUCCCUAUAUUGCCUCUGGAUGGCUGCUUAGGCCGUCAAAUUUUCAUUUAUUUGUUAUAGGCCUCUGUUUUUGUAAUAUUUAUGCAAUAAUAAAUAUGCUGUCGUCAAUGGUGUAAAUGGCAUCAUUUCAUACUGCCAUAAUUCUUGUUUGAGAAUGUAUUGCAUUGCCUUAAA